rnacentral:piRNA from 1 species
GAUGUAAGUUGGCUUGACUCAGUGCA